ACUCCCUCCUCUUGCAACCCGGUUUAAGCAACCACUCCAGGACAGGGAAAGAAGAAAGAGAUUUCUCUCUUGCAACCUGGUUUAGGAGGCCCAUAGAAAGCAACCACGGGGAAAGACAAACAAGACUCCCUCUCUUCUGCGACUGGCCAGAGGGAGGCAAGGCAAGCCCAGGCUAGUCUGCACCUCCCUCAAACCAAGUUUGGGUGAUUUGGAAAUGCACUUGCUUUGCUUCCGACAACAUCCGACUCCAUUAGAAAAAUAGGCUAUCACGGUUCGAUAUCGCAGGAUACAAACGACUGGAUAACCCGCUUCAAAGUCACUUCGAAAGCUACAAAACAAACGAAUUAGAUCCGACAUAUGCAGGAAUCAAAUUUUUUACCCAACCCUACUAUCUGCUACUGCUUUCUGCCCUAUAUUAGGACCAACAUAUAUGUUAAUUUCUCAGCAAGAUUAGGGAAGUUGGAUUUUUUUUUUAAAAAGCAUGCUAUGAAAUAGUUCCAUAUUUUAGUGUGAAGAAUGCUUAGCAUACAAAAAGUCCCAGUUUCAAUACCUGGGUUGUCUAGGUAACGCUGAGGAAGACUUUUGCCUAAAAUCUUGGACACCAGCUGGAUCAGUGGUCUGUCUUGGUAAUAGGUAGAUUCUUUUAUUCCAGACAGUGAACUUUGCUAAUAUUCAAUAGAAACAACAUGUGAUUGCUAUACUAGUGCUCUACGAUAAAAGGUCUCUUUGUGAGAUGGUAUGAAUCACUAUGCUUUUGGUUUUUCCAUAGUGAUUGAAAUAUUGGCCCCCAAAGGGCUUCCAGGAGCUUUUUUUCAUCAAAAUGCUAAGCAGCUUCAGUGUGGUUUUGCAAAAUGGGAAGUUUAUUUCUGAGGAGGGCAUGAAAAUAUGUGAGCUGCCAGAGGGAUAAACCGCUUAACACACCCAUUUAUACUGACAUGGCAGAACUUGAAAUGAAGUCAUUGAAAACAUUUUUAUUCUGCAGUCCCCCUGGGUGAAUGGGAAUCUUGAUGUAGCCUAGCCACUGGAAAAAAAGUCUUUAUCUUGGGGAAUGGGAAAGUGGGGAAUAAAACAUUCAAGGUCAAUACUUUUUCCUGUUAAUUGCAAGAGUUUUCAACAUUAUUGUUACUGUAUUAUCAAACUUCUGAAUUGUGAUCAGCAAGACCUUUCUCAACCCAAACAAAUUAUAUCAGGAGUCCAUCUCCAGUAUUGUAUUAUGAAUAUGAUUAUAAUCGCCUACCCACCUGGUUCCAUGAUUUAUUUCAGGGAGGGAAGCAUGCAUCUAUCAUAUUGUUUGAUUGCAACUCCUAGGAUUCUUCACCAUUGACUAUGCCAUUCCACAGCACUGGAGGCUGUGGUUCCAAAAACUGUGGAGGGUAACAAGACACUACAAUUUGCUAGCAGGUUAAUAUUUUAUACCAGUGAUUUAAUUGUGUCACAACUAUGACUAUAUGGUUUUUGUGAAAUGGAGCAUUUACCUAUAUUUACUCCACUGUAUUCAAAAUCUCUCCUUACCCAUGAUUGUGACACUAUUUCCAUAAUUGUAGCAUUGUAUACUUAAACAAGUAGAUAUUGUAUUACAGGCUAAUAUUAGUAUGUUAAACUGAUGUGACAAUAAUAUAUUCCAGUGUGAGUUUCUUCGUAUCAAAAGAUCUACUAUGAAAAAGGAGAAGGAUGGUAUCAGCUGAUUUUUACAUUAAAAUGAUAAGAUAAAUGGCACAGGUAGGGGAUUUUUUAACUUUUUGGUUCUCAAAAGCCCCAGGCAACAUGCCAGUGAUAAAUUAUUACAGAAGCUGUAGUUCAAAACUUCUGUAAGGCCAACAUUUCCCCAGCUCUAGGAUAUGCUGGGAUCAGUAAUCAAAAAAUAAUACCCUUGUUUUGUGUUGUUGCCCCAUGGUAAUGUAUGGCAAAUAUUCUAUAGACAUUUACAAAUAAAAAUGGAGCCAUUAAUCUCUUCUUAUCUGCCAAGCUCAGUCUCCUGCUUUUUGAGAGAAAGUAAAUAAAUUAUCACCUUUUGACAGACAAGGAAAUUGUGCCCUAAGGAUUCAGAUUAUUCCUGAAAGGGAUUUCGGAAAAACAGUCUAUGAAUUGUUACAUUUAGAACAAUUAACUUGGAGAUGUUGGGAGGGAGGGGGUGGUGGUGAUUCCAAAACCUAAAUACUGUAGUUAAGUUAUCCAAAAGCAGAAGAAGGAAUUUAUUUAUUUGGCAUACUUUUCCACCCCCAACCCCAACAUCUCCAAAUGGAUUGUUGAAGGCUUUCAUGGCCGGAAUCACUGGGUUGCUGUGAGUUUUUCAGGCUGUAUGGUCAUGUUCCAGAAGCUUUCUCUCCUGAUGUCUCGCCCACAUCUCCAAAUGGCUUUGGCUCUCUUCUUUGGGCUUGUUGAUAGAGUAAGAGCUUUGAAACAUCUCAUUUAAGCACACCACCACUUUGAAACUCACUGGCAAAUUAGUUGAUUUUUAAGUGUUUGAGUCUUCUGAUAAUUAGAUACAUACACUAAUAAUAUAUCAACAAAGAAGUGAUGUGUAUAGAAACAAUCAUCCACAGAGAUGGCUUAAUGUUGCCAAGGAACUCCAGCAAAACACUGAGAGCACCUGGAAUAUUAACCAAUUAAACUUAUUGUCUUAGGCUGGAUCUACACUGCCAUAUAACUCAGUAUCUGACCCCAGAUUAUCUGCUUUGAACUGGAUUAUAUGUGUCUAUACUGCCAUAUACAGUAAUCCAGUUCACAGCAGAUAAUCUGGGAUCAGAAACUGAUUACAUGGCAAUGCAGAUCUAGCCUUAUUUGCAAUUUUUCUCUGGUAUUCCAAUGCUGCAAGUGAAUGAUAAAAUGGUUAAUGGAAAAUGAUGAAUUGCUACUCUGACCUAAUGGUAGAAGAUUAUUCUGAAUGGGCUUGUGCCAACACAACCUGAUUGUACUACCUUUGGAAUGGAUGUUGCAAUGAUGGUUCAUGAUUUGAAUAGAGGGUGUAUGUUGGAAACCCUCAGGUGGUAGACUGAUACAUCAGGCCCCUUCUAAACUGCCAUAUAAUCCAGUUUAUGAUCCUAGAUUAUCUGCUUUGAACUGGGGCAAUGUAGAUCCAGCCUCAGGCUCUUUAAGUGAGAGGAAUACUGUAUGCUGUUUCUUUAUUAAGUCAGUAUCCCUUAUCCAAAAUGCUUGGAACAGAAAUGUGCAGGACCUGGUAUUCAUUGCUUGUCUCCAAUUCAAGUACUAAGCAGAUCUGAUCCUGCUUACCUUCCAAGAUCAGAUGAGAUCUGAUGCCUUUAUGGUAUUUUGGUGUUAGUCAAGUUCUACCAUUGUUUUCUAGCUGGCAUUAAACAGCUAGGUGUCUAUGUACAUAUAACUAUGUUUGCACAAAAAAAUGGGAGAGUGAGUCUUGAGUAAAUAUUACUCUAACAAAAUAUGAACUAUGUAGAUUUUUGCCACCACUUUAAUGCAGCAGUCUUUGUAGACUUCAUUAUACUACUAGGCUUGUCUCCUGUCAGAAUGGAAAUAUAAACAGCAGAUCCAACAGUGCAUAAUGCAGAAAAUUAUGCAUCCAUUAUAUUUGAUUAACUUUAUUAUACUCAUUCCACCAUUAAAUCUCAAUAGGAAAUGAAAAGAUAAUGCCAAUAAUUCCCCUCCUCUGAGACAUUUAAAUCUUAUACAGAAUAAUGGUCUAAUUGCUAAAUCCUUCAGUUUCAUAGACAAUUACCAUUAUUUUACUAAGAUUAUAACCAAGCAUUACUUGGUUAUAAGGUAUAAAUUGCAGCAAUUAAAUGCAAACCAUGUGUUCUUUACUUCUGAGAAUGGCUGCAAAAACAGCAAUUAGUUGUGCAAUAAUUCAUGUGGGAAAUAUUACAAAUAUCUCAAAAUGGUAACAGGCUCUAGGUCUGCAAUAGUAUCAUCAUUUGUCUGGGAAGCAGCCCAACCGUGCCCAUUAGAAUUCAAUAUACAUGCAUGGGAUUGUGUUGUAAGAUCUUUUUAAAAUGUACAAACAAAGUUUUGAUAAGGAGACUUGAGAGCUGGAAUUGGUCAUAAACUGAAUUAUUCAAGAUAACUGCAUAAUGAUAUAGAAUUACUUCUUACUGUAUGGAUGUAAUAUUGAUUUAGUAAUACAUAUCUUUUAAUGCUAUUACACUGAUGCUGCUGCACGAGCAGCGCACGGUCUUAAUUUCUAAAGAAAAAGACACUGACACUACAUUAUUGUACCUAAAUCCAUUUGCUACUUCCAAACAGAAUAGACCGCUGGUCCCCUAAGGCAGCAUUAGUACUCUCCCCUCUCCAUAAUGACCCUCAACUUCUGCAGUGACCAUAUCAAGAUCUAUAAUUCUGUUCCCAAUAUCUGCCCUCAAAUUAUACAUGAAAUUGACUUAUACAUGAGUCUUGAUCCUAGAAAUACUAACCCUGUCUCCUAGAUAUGUAGCUACUGUUGAUACUUAGCUCAGAGGGAGCAUUGUGGAUGUACCCAAUGGUAUUUCUUCUUUCUUCACAUUUUCCAGGACUAAGCUAGUCUGGUAAGGAAAAUCUGCAAUUUCUACUGCAGAUAUACUAAAUUUUAUUGCAUGUUUUAACUUUCCAUGUGAUAUGCUUUGUCAAUUUAUUGUAAAAUCUAUAAAUCUUGUCAUCCGAGAAUAUUGCUUAUUUUCAUAUUGUCCAUUGCACUCAUCUUCAGAAAUUCUCCUGAUAACUUUCUAAGAAAAUGUUUAAAGAAUGCGACUUCCAGGAAUGAGAUGGAAAUCAUUCCUCUGUCUAUGUACUAAUCCAUUUAGUCAGAAUAACUAAUGGACAAGAGUCCUAGGUAGCCAUUCUUAUGCUGAUUUUACUGUAUGACAAUGUAACAGUAAGUAGAUUUAGAAUGUUUCACAGACUGAUAUGCCAAAGAUACUAUAAUCUGAAGAGUAAUGUAAAUAACUUGCAAAUUUGUAAUUGUUACCCUUUAAUCUUAACAGAACUCAUUAGUUUGAUAAGCUUUAUGUAGUCUUUUCUAAACUUGUCCUCCAUAGGAUGCAGCUUCCAGCAUCUCCAGCCAUCAUGGUCACUAGCAGGUUGAGAAAGCCAUCAUGGUGCAGUGACUUGAAAGUUGGACUACAAUUCUGGAAAAUGAUUUGAAUCUUUGCUUGACCAUGAAAUCCAGUGGAUGACCUUGGGCAAGUCAUUCUCUCUCAGCUAUAGAAGAAGAUGGCUUCCACAUCCAGAGAGCCCUGUGACUCCUACCAAUGUUGGAUCUGGACCAAAUUUGACACACACACUCCCCAUGACCAACUUUAAAUACUGGCAGAUUUUGAGGGGCAAUAACAGAUGACAAUGGGAGUUAUCGUUCACUCAUAUGCGAAGAGCACUCUGAAACCAACUGAUAAUGAAUCUGGACCAACUUGAUACACAUGCCCAUAAUGGUCAACUUUAAAUACUGGUAGUAUUUGGGGGACUGAUUCAAGAUGAUGGGAGCUGUAGUUCUCCCAAAUGCUUAUGCAUUUUCUAAUGGUUCCAUUCAUAAAAUCCAAAGCCAAAUAUUUAUUGUUUCUACUUUUAAUCCUUCUAAAAUAUCUAACCUGAGCAUUGAUGGGUACCUAAAGUAGUAAAUAAAUAAAUUUAGGGGUAGAUCUGCACACAAUAAACUGAUUGGGAAAUGGCUUGUGUAUCAUAGAUAUUUCAUUAUUCCAGCAUCUGAAUAAUGUAGUAGUCAUGACCUCAGCAGUGACUGUUGGCUUUCUGUCUGCUUUGGGUUUUAUACCAAACUUUAAAGUACUAAUGUGUGGGCCUGACACCAUUCUAACAAAAAAAGUUCAACAUCUUGGAAGUUCUGUAUUCUUGCCCAUGUUGUGCAUGUGUAAGAGUUUGUUACUAGCAAUAAAUAAACUUUACAUUAAGCACUAAAAAGGAAGCUCUGCUUUAUUGAUAUUGAAGGUCACCAGUUACACUCAUUCCAUGCAAACUGUGGAAGGAAGAGAAAUAUAGUAUGACCCUCAUUUUGAUCCAUGUCAAAAUGCAUUGUGGACCCAGACAUUUUCUAGGUCCACUAUGUUACUCUUGUCAUUAACUAUUACCUGUUCAAGAUAGGUUUGUUCUGAAGUUUAAUUUGUUUGUAAGUGUAACUGCAUCCUCUCUCCCCACAAAAGUUUGGAUAGCAUAGAGAAGGGUUAACACCCCUAUGGUGUUUGUUUUGCUGUUUGUGCUGUUGUUCAGAAGAAUUCACCUUACUUUCUGUCCCUGGGAUCAUUGAAUUUUGAAAUAAUUGGCUUUUUAUGGAAACAAGUUUUGGUGCUAAAACUUCAGUGGAGACACUUUUUCCCCAUGAUAACUCUUCCCGUAGUGUAUUUCCCCUCCUAGGGGUAGAUAUCUCUCACUUCCUAUGGUUUCACUCCCAUUCUUAACUAAGUUGUUUAUUUGUAACUCGAGCACUGCCUGUACAGGGGUUAUGCCAUACCUUCAAAUUGAGAACCCUGAAGCGUAUGUGCCUAAGUGGAUCAAAGCUGCUUGAGUGUGAUGCCUUUGCCUUAGUAGUAGGGAUGGAAAGACUGUUUAAAAAUAUUUGAAAAAUGGUAAAAGAAAAACCCAGAUCUGUUAAGGUUCAGGAUAUUCUUAGAUGGGCAAGAAUCUUCAAAAUUCAGAUCUUAUUUUGCCCCAGAGGUGCUCUUUGCCCUUAUUACAAAACAAAAUUUUCUGUACAGAAAAGGGCACUUUCUGUGCAAAUAAAAUAAAACAAAACAAUUAUGUGUGGAAAAUGCUGUUUUCUCUGCAGACAUCCAUGCAAAAUUGCACAUUUUCCCACAGAAUAAGUACCAAAUAGCAAAUAAGCUUUGAAAAUGAUAAAUUGAUUCAUUUUGCCUGUGAGAACAAAGUUUAUUGAAGAUUCAUGCAAUAGCUGCUUUUUCAUUGAUGCCCACUUGAAAGCUCCAACAAGGUGGCAGGAGAAGGAGCCCCAGAAAUUAGGAUGACAGCUCAUUUAUGCUUGUAGAUAGAUGAGUCACAUGAAUGAGGGGAUUAUUGUGUGAUGCUAGAGAAACAGAGACAAGAAAUUUGCUUGUCUAAAAAAGGAGUCUUAAAUACCAUGAAAGCAUCAGACUCUAUCUGCUCUUGGAAGCUAAUCAGGGCCAGCUGAAGUUUUUGGAUAGAAGAUUGCCAACAAAUAACAGAUAUUAUAUCUUUUAAAAUAUGUCUACUCUAGUUGGGAAUGAAACAUAGAUUCAGACCAUUGCUUAUUUUCUCACAUUUUACUCAAACUUUGUUCUGUGCUUUGUUUUUUUAUAUAUAUAUAUAAAUAUAAAAAGUAACAGGAAAGUGGCAUUGCUUCUAAAUAGUCCGAAACACACUAAGUACUAUCUCUGUACCCAUGUUUUCAGUGAAAUCUUACGUACCACAUAAUGCAAUUGGACUUUCAAUAAAUUUUCACCAUCUGAUGAAAAUGUAAUAUUUUUACCUUCUGAUAUGCAGUUACAUCACAAUCAUGUUUAAUCAAAUAUUGAGCCUAUAAUUAUAAAUAUUAUUUUUGGGGAAAGUGUUUGGCUCCUGAAUUGCUUGGGUAUUCUUAAUAAUGAAUUAUGCCUCAUUUGUGAAUGCUAAGAUCACAGCAGAAUUUAUCUCACUAUGCAGAAGUUUUUGCCUCUCAUAACAAAUUUCAAGAAAGAAGCUAUCUAGUCAGUUGUUUGACAUUUUGUACACAUCUGGGGGGCUAUGCUAGUUAACUUGUUUCAUUUUCUUUCUUUAUGAAAAUGAAACCAUAAUUCCAAACCCUUCCCAUAUCUUAUCAUACAUCUGUUAUUUGAAGCAAUCUAUGCAAACAAGAAACAAAAGCUCAUUUAUCAAAAGGCAUUUUCUUCAUAGUCUUGACUGCCCAUACUGGUGCUUUAAUAACACAUGCAAAUACAUUUAUAGGCAGGUGAGUGCUUUUCUAUAGCAAAUUCAAUGGUUUCUUAACAAGAUCUGAGUUUUACAUAACUUAGCGAACAAUGUUGCUUUGUGCAUACACACAAAAGGAGGAAAGACUUAACAAUUGUAUGCACAGAAAAAGACCCUAAUGAGUAUAUAUUUCAAAUAUCUGACAUAUCAGAAAUGCAGAGGAUGUAUUAAGUGCCCUUGGGAACAUUGUGACCUGCUGGAGAACUGAAUAAAAAUAUUUUCAAAGAUAAUUAUUUAUUUAUUUAUUUAUUUAUUUAUUUACAGUAUUUAUAUUCCGCCCUUCUCACCCCGAAGGGGACUCAGGGCGGAUCACAUUACACAUAUAGGCAAACAUUCAAUGCCUUGACAUAGAACAAAGACAAGACAAAUGCAGGCUCCGAGCUGGCCUCGAACUCAUGACCUCUUGGUCAGAGUGAUUGGUCUCAGCUGGCUGCUCACCAGCUUGCGCCACAGCCCGGG